CCUAAACUGGGGGUGUAGACACGGGGGUAGGGGAUCUUAAGGUAGAGUCAUCCUGACGAAGGAAUGGUGGCUGGAGAAAUGCACAGACCAAGCUAAGCCCGAGUCACCGCUUUGAUUCUUGCUUGGACAAUCUUGUCAACUUGAUCUUCUGCCCUGAAUUCCAGAUGUCCUGAGGAUGCUCUUCUGGCCCACGUAUUAUGCAGAGCUAACAAAAUGUGUGCUGCAGAGGUGAAAGGCUUUGUAUUGGAAACCCUCCCUGCUGCAACAUUUGCAUUGGGUGCUUUUCUCCUUCUUUCCCUGCAAUAUUUUGUUGUUGGCAAUCCUGUUUCUCUCAAAACACCAGGGGACCAAUAACUCUGUUAUGAUUCUAUCAAUAAUCCUGUUAUGAGUCCUUCGUUAGUGCUGUCUCUCAGCAGAGUGGCUUGGCUAUACUGCAACAGCCGUGGUGACUUCAUGUGUGCAACAUCCCUGUCU